AUUGAACGCUGGCGGCAGGCCUAACACAUGCAAGUCGAACGGUAGCACAGAGGAGCUUGCUCCUUGGGUGACGAGUGGCGGACGGGUGAGUAACGUCUGGGAAACUGCCCGAUGGAGGGGGAUAACUACUGGAAACGGUAGCUAAUACCGCAUAACGUCGCAAGACCAAAGAGGGGGACCUUCGGGCCUCUUGCCAUCGGAUGUGCCCAGAUGGGAUUAGCUAGUAGGUGGGGUAACGGCUCACCUAGGCGACGAUCCCUAGCUGGUCUGAGAGGAUGACCAGCCACACUGGAACUGAGACACGGUCCAGACUCCUACGGGAGGCAGCAGUGGGGAAUAUUGCACAAUGGGCGCAAGCCUGAUGCAGCCAUGCCGCGUGUAUGAAGAAGGCCUUCGGGUUGUAAAGUACUUUCAGCGAGGAGGAAGGCGUUGUGGUUAAUAACCGCAACGAUUGACGUUACUCGCAGAAGAAGCACCGGCUAACUCCGUGCCAGCAGCCGCGGUAA
rnacentral:rRNA from 1 species